ACCCCGGCACCACAGCGGAGGUACAGGCGCGGUGCUGUGGAAGCAGCUUGUGUGUAGAACCAGUUCUCAUCACAGGAGGUUUCUCUGUGUAGCCCUGGCUGUCUGGAACCAGCUCUGUAGACCAGACUCAAAGAACUACCUGCAUCUGCCUCUGGAGUGCCGAGAUUGAAGGUGUGCAUCACCACUGCCCAACUAGUCCUUUUUUAAUAAGCUCCAUAGCCCAGGCUGGUCUGGAACUCAAGGCGAUUGUUCUGCUUUAGAUCACCGCGUGCUAGAAUUACACCGCGCCCUGCUACUGUCGGUGAUUUUUAACCCUGGGUGGACGGGACUGUACAAGUCGCACAGAGAGGGAGAGACGCAGGCUGAAGGUACCAAGCAAGCUUGUGCAGAGGGUGGCGGUCGGGGGCACCUGUGGUGGCAGCGGGGGUGAGGGCAAAAUGUGGAUGAGAACAGGAAUAAGGAUGUAGAGCAGCCGGAUAUCACAGAGUGCCAACAACUAAAGUAAACAUGAGACACAAGCUGGACAUGUGUCAGGAUGGCCGAGCGGUCUAAGGCGCUGCGUUCAGGUCGCAGUCUCCCCUGGAGGCGUGGGUUCGAAUCCCACUUCUGACAGUACUU
rnacentral:lncRNA from 1 species